rnacentral:rRNA from 1 species
AUUGAGCGCUGGCGGAAUGCUUUAUACAUGCAAGUCGAACGGCAGCACGGACUUCGGUCUGGUGGCGAGUGGCGAACGGGUGAGUAAUGUAUCGGAGCGUGCCCAGUCGUGGGGGAUAACGUAGUGAAAAUUACGCUAAUACCGCAUACGAUCUAUGGAUGAAAGCGGGGGAUCGCAAGACCUCGCGCGCUUGGAGCGGCCGAUAGCAGAUUAGGUAGUUGGUGGGGUAAAGGCCCACCAAGCCAACGAUCUGUAGCUGGUCUGAGAGGACGACCAGCCACACGGGAACUGAGACACGGUCCAGACUCCUACGGGAGGCAGCAGUGGGGAAUUUUGGUCAAUGGGCGAAAGCCUGAUCCAGCCAUUCCGCGUGCAGGAUGAAGGCCCUCGGGUUGUAAACUGCUUUUGUACAGAACGAAAAGGUUUCUACUAAUACUAGGAGCUCAUGACGGUACUGUAAGAAUAAGCACCGGCUAACUACGUGCCAGCAGCCGCCGUAA